UACGUAGGGGGCAAGCGUUGUCCGGAUUUAUUGGGCGUGAAGAGCGUGUAGGCGGCCACACAGGUCAGCUGUGAAAACUCGAGGCUCAACCUCGAGACGUCGGUUGAAACCGUAUGGCUAGAGUCCGGAAGAGGAGAGUGGAAUUCCCGGUGUAGCGGUGAAAUGCGCAGAUAUCGGGAAGAACACCCGUGGCGAAGGCGGCUCUCUGGGACGGUACUGACGCUGAGACGCGAAAGCGUGGGGAGCGAACAGG
rnacentral:rRNA from 1 species